rnacentral:rRNA from 1 species
GUAGGUGGCAAGCGUUGUCCGGAAUUAUUGGGCGUAAAGCGCGCGCAGGCGGGUCCUUUAAGUCUGAUGUGAAAGCCCACGGGCUCAACCGUGGAGGGUCAUUGGAAACUGGGGGACUUGAGUACAGAAGAGGAAAGCGGAAUUCCAAGUGUAGCGGUGAAAUGCGUAGAGAUUUGGAGGAACACCAGUGGCGAAGGCGGCUUUCUGGUCUGUAACUGACGCUGAGGCGCGAAAGCGUGGGGAGCAAACAGGAUUAGAUACCCUGGUAGUCCACGCCGUAAACGAUGAGUGCUAAGUGUUAGGGGGUUUCCGCCCUUUAGUGCUGCAGCUAACGCAUUAAGCACUCCGCCUGGGGAGUACGGCCGCAAAGGCUG